GACGAACCGUGCGAACGUUUUUCGGAAUCACUGGGCUUAAAGGGCGCGUAGGCGGGUCACCAAGUCCGGGGUGAAAUCUUUCGGCUUAACCGGAAAAUGGCCUUGGAUACUGGUGGUCUUGAGGGAGGUAGGGGCAUGUGGAACUUCCGGUGGAGCGGUGAAAUGUGUUGAUAUCGGAAGGAACGCCGGUGGCGAAAGCGACGUGCUGGGCCUCUUCUGACGCUGAGGCGCGAAAGCCAGGGGAGCAAACGGG
rnacentral:rRNA from 1 species